CUUGUACUCUCUCCGUCUAAAAAAGUUUGUCCUUCAAAUGGAUGUAUCUAGCACUAAGUUAGUGCUAGAUACAUCCAUUUAAAGAACAAGCUUGGGAUAAGCUUUUUCGGACGGAGGGAGUAUAUA
rfam:Triticum aestivum genome assembly, contig: Triticum_aestivum_CS42_TGACv1_scaffold_031305_1BL